rnacentral:lncRNA from 1 species
AGCAACCAUGGCUUCUUUGGAGAUCAUUUAAAAGGGGGUUUCAAUCUGCCUGAAAUAUUUGUUUAUCCUAAAGAUCUUCUUGCUUGCUUGCGUGGCAGAGAACUGGCGACCAGGUUCCAGAAAAAGGCUCCGUAGGUGCAAUGUGCCUCCCUCCCUGAAGAACGCAGGGGAGUUGCGCCCGGAUUUGUAUUUAUUCAAAAUACAAAUGAAAAUCAAGAGGUCUUCUAUGAGAUCUUUGUGCAAAGGAACUGUUUGGCCAGUGCCUACUAUGCGCUCUGAGCACUGAGAUCCAUGAGGGAAGUGUGAGGAGAGAGUCCAGCUGCCUCCAGCCGAUCAAGCAGGCCAAAUAAUGUUCCUGAUGAAGCGAGCUGCGCCACCCAAGAAAAGCAUCUUUGUAGCUGAUUCCCCAAAAUUCAGAUAGUAUUUGUUCUCUUCCUUUACUUCUCUCCCUAAGGGAAAAAAGAGAGUUUAUAUCCCCUAAAAAACACCUCAAAUAAUUGUCCUCUGCCUGAGCAGUUCUCUGAGCCCUGGACUACACAGAAGUUCUUGGCAUCUUUUGGACAUCCUGUGGAGACCUCAGACAACAAUCAUAAACAGAACUCUUUGCUUCUUGUCUAAUAUCUGGCCAUCUUUGAGUGUUCUCUUUCCAAAAAACAUCAAAGAUGGAAAUGAAGGAGUUACUAUCCUCCCCCCCACACACAACACACACCAUUAGCUUUACACAAUCACAAAGUUGUGUCAAUAUUACCUUAUCUCUCCCAAUCUGAUUUUCUCCAUCACUAUUGCCAGUGACUUGGUCUAAUGAGUACAUGCAGUCUGGUUACAGCUACGAGUUCACCUCACCAUUGUAUGUUCUGUUAAUGAGAAACAAGUCAUGAGCCUUACUCUACCCAAGGGACAGAUUGCACAAGCACAAAGCCCAAGGGCCAAACUCAGGAGUCCAUUGUAGAAUUCAUCCUACCAUUGACCUCAAAUUUAGCUUACUUAUACAGAGAAACAUUCCCCAAACUCAAGAAUUGGUUCUAAUUCCAAUAUACAGGUCCACACAAUGCUUCUUGCCAUCAUUUAUUAUAUUUUUAAAUAGUUAUAUGACAAUCUCAUUAAUAUACCUUAA